GAACGCUAGCGACAGGCUUAACACAUGCAAGUCGAGGGGCAGCACAGGUAGCAAUACCGGGUGGCGACCGGCGCACGGGUGAGUAACGCGUAUGCAACUUGCCUAUCAGAGGGGGAUAACCCGGCGAAAGUCGGACUAAUACCGCAUGAAGCAGGGGCCCCGCAUGGGGAUAUUUGCUAAAGAUUCAUCGCUGAUAGAUAGGCGUGCGUUCCAUUAGGCAGUUGGCGGGGUAACGGCCCACCAAACCGACGAUGGAUAGGGGUUCUGAGAGGAAGGUCCCCCACAUUGGUACUGAGACACGGACCAAACUCCUACGGGAGGCAGCAGUGAGGAAUAUUGGUCAAUGGCCGAGAGGCUGAACCAGCCAAGUCGCGUGAGGGAUGAAGGUUCUAUGGAUCGUAAACCUCUUUUAUAAGGGAAUAAAGUGCGGGACGUGUCCCGUUUUGUAUGUACCUUAUGAAUAAGGAUCGGCUAACUCCGUGCCAGCAGCCGCGGUAAUACGGAGGAUCCGAGCGUUAUUCGGAUUUAUUGGGUUUAAAGGGUGCGUAGGCGGCCUUUUAAGUCAGCGGUGAAAGUCUGUGGCUCAACCAUAGAAUUGCCGUUGAAACUGGGGGGCUUGAGUAUGUUUGAGGCAGGCGGAAUGCGUGGUGUAGCGGUGAAAUGCAUAGAUAUCACGCAGAACCCCGAUUGCGAAGGCAGCCUGCCAAGCCAUUACUGACGCUGAUGCACGAAAGCGUGGGGAUCAAACAGGAUUAGAUACCCUGGUAGUCCACGCAGUAAACGAUGAUCACUAGCUGUUUGCGAUACACUGUAAGCGGCACAGCGAAAGCGUUAAGUGAUCCACCUGGGGAGUACGCCGGCAACGGUGAAACUCAAAGGAAUUGACGGGGGCCCGCACAAGCGGAGGAACAUGUGGUUUAAUUCGAUGAUACGCGAGGAACCUUACCCGGGUUUGAACGCAUUCGGACCGAGGUGGAAACACCUUUUCUAGCAAUAGCCGUUUGCGAGGUGCUGCAUGGUUGUCGUCAGCUCGUGCCGUGAGGUGUCGGCUUAAGUGCCAUAACGAGCGCAACCCUUGCCACUAGUUACUAACAGGUAAAGCUGAGGACUCUGGUGGGACUGCCAGCGUAAGCUGCGAGGAAGGCGGGGAUGACGUCAAAUCAGCACGGCCCUUACAUCCGGGGCGACACACGUGUUACAAUGGCGUGGACAAAGGGAAGCCACCUGGCGACAGGGAGCGAAUCCCCAAACCACGUCUCAGUUCGGAUCGGAGUCUGCAACCCGACUCCGUGAAGCUGGAUUCGCUAGUAAUCGCGCAUCAGCCAUGGCGCGGUGAAUACGUUCCCGGGCCUUGUACACACCGCCCGUCAAGCCAUGGGAGCCGGGGGUACCUGAAGUCCGUAACCGCGAGGAUCGGCCUAGGGUAAAACUGGUGACUGGGGCUAA
rnacentral:rRNA from 1 species